rnacentral:rRNA from 1 species
CCUACGGUGGCAGCAGUAGGGAAUCUUCCACAAUGGGCGAAAGCCUGAUGGAGCAACGCCGCGUGGGUGAAGAAGGUCUUCGGAUCGUAAAACCCUGUUGUUAGAGAAGAAAGUGCGUGAGAGUAACUGUUCACGUUUCGACGGUAUCUAACCAGAAAGCCACGGCUAACUACGUGCCAGCAGCCGCGGUAAUACGUAGGUGGCAAGCGUUAUCCGGAUUUAUUGGGCAUAAAGGGAACGCAGGCGGUCUUUUAAGUCUGAUGUGAAAGCCUUCGGCUUACCCGGAGUAGUGCAUUGGAAACUGGGAGACUUGAGUGCAGAAGAGGAGAGGGGAACUCCAUGUGUAGCGGUGAAAUGCGUAGAUAUAUGGAAGAACACCAGUGGCGAAAGCGGCUCUCUGGUCUGUAACUGACGCUGAGGUUCGAAAGCGUGGGUAGCAAACAGGAUUAGAUACCCCUGUAGUC